CCUACGGGUGGCAGCAGUGGGGAAUAUUGGACAAUGGGCGAAAGCCUGAUCCAGCCAUGCCGCGUGUGUGAAGAAGGCCUUCGGGUUGUAAAGCACUUUCAGUGGGGAAGAAAGCCUUGGGGCUAAUACCCUCGAGGAAGGACAUCACCCACAGAAGAAGCACCGGCUAACUCCGUGCCAGCAGCCGCGGUAAUACGGAGGGUGCGAGCGUUAAUCGGAAUUACUGGGCGUAAAGCGCGCGUAGGCGGUCUGAUAAGCCGGUUGUGAAAGCCCCGGGCUCAACCUGGGAACGGCAUCCGGAACUGUCAGGCUAGAGUGCAGGAGAGGAAGGUAGAAUUCCCGGUGUAGCGGUGAAAUGCGUAGAGAUCGGGAGGAAUACCAGUGGCGAAGGCGGCCUUCUGGACUGACACUGACGCUGAGGUGCGAAAGCGUGGGUAGCAAACAGGAUUAGAUACCCUAGAGUC
rnacentral:rRNA from 1 species